rnacentral:misc_RNA from 1 species
GAUGAAGAACGCAGCGAAAUGCGAUACGUAAUGUGAAUUGCAGAAUUCAGUGAAUCAUCGAAUCUUUGAACGCAUAUUGCGCUCUCUGGUAUUCCGGAGAGCAUGCUUGUUUGAGUAUCAGUAAACACCUCAACUCCCUUUUCUUUUUUGAAAUUGGAGCUGGACUUGAGUGAUCCCAACGCUUUCUUCCAAGAAAGUGGCGGGUUGCUUGAAAUGCAGGUGCAGCUGAACUUUUCUCUGAGCUAUAAGCAUAUCUAUUUAGUCUGCCUAAAAAACAGAUGAUUACCUUUGCUGCAGCUAACAUAAAGGAGACUAGUUCUUGUGCUGACUGAUGCAGGAUUCACAGAGACAGCUUCGGCUGACUUUGUAAACUCGAUCUCAAAUCAAGUAAGACUACCCGCUGAACUUAAGCAUAUCAAUAAGCGGAGGA